rnacentral:rRNA from 1 species
AGUGAACGCUGGCGGUAGGCCUAACACAUGCAAGUCGAACGGCAGCACAGUAAGAGCUUGCUCUUACGGGUGGCGAGUGGCGGACGGGUGAGGAAUACAUCGGAAUCUACUUUUUCGUGGGGGAUAACGUAGGGAAACUUACGCUAAUACCGCAUACGACCCACGGGUGAAAGCCGGGGAUCUUCGGACCUUGCGCGAUUGAAUGAGCCGAUGUCGGAUUAGCUAGUUGGCGGGGUAAAGGCCCACCAAGGCGACGAUCCGUAGCUGGUCUGAGAGGAUGAUCAGCCACACUGGAACUGAGACACGGCCCAGACUCCUACGGGAGGCAGCAGUGGGGAAUAUUGGACAAGGGGGGAAAGCCUGAUCCAGCCAUACCGCGUGGGUGAAGAAGGCCUUCGGGUUGUAAAGCCCUUUUGUUGGGAAAGAAAAGCAGCAGGUUAAUACCCCGCUGUUCUGACGGUACCCAAAGAAUAAGCACCGGCUAACUUCGUG